ACUGACGAACAGCUGUUCUGGGGUCACUCUGUUCAGGAGUCCUGCCUGGGUCAGUGUCCCCAGUACUGAGGCUGUGUAGAGACGCAGGCCAGGCCUGUAGGUCUUAAAUCCAUACCAUGUCCUUUUCCCUCCCCCACGUCUCUGGUCAUUCCCCAGUCUCCAGGUCCCUCCAGCCUCCACACCUCUCACCAUUACACUGAGCCAGGAGAAGGUGGAUCCCAGCAUCGCGACAUCGGCUGGCCAGCUGCGGAGAAGGAGAGGGGGGUCAAAUCCUACGUCAGAGGCAACAUCUGCAAAGGUGAGACCACUGCAGUCUAAGACCACCACCCUGACGGGCUCGGCAACUAGGAUGGGAGAAGGCAGGAGUGGCCGGACGCCCCCAGGGCACGUGCCCAGGCUCCUCGCCAUCCCAUCUCACCUGCAUCGGGUGGGCCAUCCGUCUUUGGAGCCUCCUGUGAGUAGAGAAGGGCAGUCACCACCUCCAAGACACCAGCAUGAACGUGUGCCCCGUAAGCAGUGAUCUCCUUCAGAAGAGCCACCUGCCUCCCUCUCCCGGAGAAGCCACCCUCCCCUCGGACCAGAUAAUAGAAGAAGGGCCCCAGCCACAGCAGCACUGAGAGGACAACUAUGCAGGAGAAGAGGCCUGCCAGCUAGAAAGGAGGAGGGAUGGAAGCCGAGAAGCAAAGGGAUCUCAUGCACCACUGUGAGGGAGCUGGCCGCCCUGUCCACUUUACCUUGCCUUCCCUGGAACUCUCCCUCCUUCCGAAUCCCUGUCCAUGAAGAUAUUCCUCAGUCUUCCACUCUCUUCUUGCUAGUUUGCAUCUCACAUCUACUUUUCCCCUCUCCCAAUUAAAUGCCUCUCAUUUGCCGGUCUCUACGUAGAUGUAGUUCAAUUUCCCUAUUUUUGAAGCCCAUGUC